rnacentral:rRNA from 1 species
GACAGAGGUGCCAAGCGUUAGGCGGAAUCACUGGGCUUAAAGCGUGUGUAGGCGGAUGCCUAAGUACCUUGUGAAAUCCCCCGGCUUAACCGGGGAACUGCUUGGUAUACUGGGUGUCUUGAGCCACUUAGGGGCGACCGGAACAAACGGUGGAGCGGUGAAAUGCGUAGAUAUCGGAAGGAACAUCAGUGGCGAAAGCGACUUCCUGGACCAAUACUGACGCUCAUGUGCGAAAGCGUGGGGAGCAAACAGG